rnacentral:tRNA from 1 species
GGGGGUAUAUCUCAGUGGUAGAGUGCACGCUUAGCAUGCACAAGGUCUUGGGUUCAAUCCCCACUAACUCCC